AUUGAACGCUGGCGGCAGGCCUAACACAUGCAAGUCGAACGGUAACAGGAAACAGCUUGCUGUUUCGCUGACGAGUGGCGGACGGGUGAGUAAUGUCUGGGAAACUGCCUGAUGGAGGGGGAUAACUACUGGAAACGGUAGCUAAUACCGCAUAACGUCGCAAGACCAAAGAGGGGGACCUUCGGGCCUCUUGCCAUCGGCUGUGCCCAGGUGGGAUUAGCUAGUAGGUGGGGUAACGGCUCACCUAGGCGACGAUCCCUAGCUGGUCUGAGAGGAUGACCAGCCACACUGGAACUGAGACACGGUCCAGACUCCUACGGGAGGCAGCAGUGGGGAAUAUUGGACAAUGGGCGCAAGCCUGAUGCAGCCAUGCCGCGUGUAUGAAGAAGGCCUUCGGGUUGUAAAGUACUUUCAGCGGGGAGGAAGGGAGUAAAGUUAAUACCUUUACUCAUUGACGUUACCCGCAGAAGAAGCACCGGCUAACUCCGUG
rnacentral:rRNA from 1 species